rnacentral:lncRNA from 1 species
GCCCCCAAAAGAUACCAGAAAGAUGCCAGGAGAAUUAGAAUUGUUGAUCUACCAAAUUCAAAUCACCCUCACCAGCCAUGAUCCAGCCAUGAUCCAGCCAUGAUGCAAAGUUUCUGGUGUGUGCUUCCUUGAUCAGAGGUGCAAAAAGAAAAGAAUGUGAAAGGAAAAGGGCCAGUUCACACACCUACCCCAACACUAGCAAUCACUACUGGAAAAAUACAUUGCAGUGAAGGUUCUAAGACAUGGGAUCGUUUCCAGAUGAGAAUCUGUGAGCAACUCAUUGACUCACCCAGUCCACGAGCCACUCAUUGAUUUACACAGUCCUUCUGAGAUCGUUAAGUGAUUACUUCCAUCAGCAUUGAUCGGGGAGUGGAGGCUGAAGUUACUAUUGUGGUUGCCUAA